rnacentral:rRNA from 1 species
UGGGGAAUAUUGCGCAAUGGGGGAAACCCUGACGCAGCAACGCCGCGUGAAGGAAGAAGGUCUUCGGAUUGUAAACUUUUGUCUUCGGGGACGAUAAUGACGGUACCCGAGGAGGAAGCUCCGGCUAACUACGUGCCAGCAGCCGCGGUAAUACGUAGGGAGCGAGCGUUGUCCGGAAUUACUGGGUGUAAAGGGUGCGUAGGCGGCUAUGCAAGUCAGAUGUGAAAUUUAUGGGCUCAACCCAUAACCUGCAUUUGAAACUGCGUGGCUUGAGUGAUGGAGAGGUAAGCGGAAUUCCUAGUGUAGCGGUGAAAUGCGUAGAUAUUAGGAGGAACACCAGUGGCGAAGGCGGCUUACUGGACAUCAACUGACGCUGAGGCACGAAAGCGUGGGGAGCAAACAGG